GACCGAGUGCUCGGAGGAGCGUCGAGUGACUGAUUCUGUGGCUCCGCCCCCCGUGAAAGGCGGGAGAGUGGUGGCGACCGGAGGGGCUGGGCUGUUCGUCCGUAUCCGGUUUCACGCUGAUGCUCCUUUGCAAUGGAGGUAAACUGAGGCUCGGUGAAAUAAAGUGACCACCUGCUUGUACUAUUGGAAAGUCACAGAUCAUAGAAUUGGGACCUAGGAACAAGAGCUACAUCCACGGGCAUUCGAGUGAGAAGGACCUGGGUUGCAAUGAGUAGUAGCAAGUGGCUGGGGGGCUGUCUUCUGCCACCUCCGUCUUAUUGGUUCCAGUUCAAAUGCCACUUCCUCAGAGGUGCCUUCCUCACCGCUGGCAACCCAGUUCUCCCUGUAUCUCCCACCGCUGCAGAGAGCUAUGGGAUUUGGAGGCAUGGCAGCCUGAAUCCCAUCUGGGUCCUGGGAUCCUCCUCCUCUCUGCU